GACGAACGCUGGCGGCGUGCUUAACACAUGCAAGUCGAACGGUGAAGCGCCUUCCUUUUUGGUGGGUGUGGAUGAGUGGCGAACGGGUGAGUAACACGUGAGUAACCUGCCCCCUUCUUCUGGAUAACCGCAUGAAAGUGUGGCUAAUACGGGAUAUUCUGGGUCUGUCGCAUGAUGGGUCUGGGAAAGAUAUUGUUUCGGUGGGGGAUGGGCUCGCGGCCUAUCAGCUUGUUGGUGGGGUGAUGGCCUACCAAGGCGGUGACGGGUAGCCGGCCGGAGAGGGCAACCGGCGACAGUGGGCCUGCGGGAGGGCCCAGGGGGCGGCGGGAGGGAUGAGGGGGUUGUAGUGGACAAGGGGCGCCAGCGGGAUGGAGGGGCGGCCUGUUUGGGGUGAGGGCUUGCUGGGGGUAAACCGCGGUCGCCGGGGACGAAGGGGGAGUGACGGGAAGGAGUAAAGAAGCACCGGCUAAUUACGUG
rnacentral:rRNA from 1 species